CCCGCCCCCUCCUUGGCAGGGUAGCUGCGCGUGCGCGGUGGCUGCGGAGAGCAACGCGUAAGGCUGACCGCUGGCGUUCUUGGUCCCCGACCGCCGGUACCCGGCAUCCUUCCUUAUCCGGGACAGCUUGGAGCCCUGGAUGACCUGAGGAGCCAGGAGUCACACUCAGACUGCACCGUGGAUCGUCCUUAUUCAGCUGUGAACGAAUCUACAGGAAAAACCUAACUGGAAUGUGCCAGGCUCUAGCCAGAGGAGACCCCAAAACUAUGAACUGCAACAGAUAACGAGCCGCUGGCUCCGACGCAUCUGCGACCAGUCUCGGGGUGCUUUAUCCACACGCUGGAUUCAUUCCAUGAUGCUGAGUGAGGAAAGCUGGAUUCUCGUCGCAGCCCGGCCACGACCAACUACUUGACCUUGGUUUCUCAGGUCCAUCGACCUCCAUCUCUCUUCUGUGGCUUCAUCAGAGAAGGAUGAGUGAGCAGUGCUGGUUCCCUGUCCUGUGCUGAGAUGACAUUGCAGGGGUACAGAGGAGACAAGCCACGGACAACCUGUAGCAACAGGAGGAGGAGAAUUAAUAGGAAGUCUGAGAAGACCAGAGACUUUCUCUCUGCCCCGCACCCCGCCUGCCAACCACGCUGGAUCUCAGACAUCUGACCCAGCUCAGCUCAUGGAAUGCUUCUUCUGAGACUUCAGGUCACAGAGAGUGAUGCAAGGACACAGAGGCAGGUGAGAGACCACCCCCGACAGCCGAGCCCAAGGAUGAGAGUCCAGCAGCAGCACCAUCCAGCAGAGUGUGGGACUUUGGCAUUGAGUGGCCAGGGGCAGCUGUGCCUGGCAGCAUCUUCAUCACACUGACCCUGAGGGGUGACCUUGGCUGUGAUACCCACUGCCUGGCCUCUUGUUCUGGUCAUCCUAUGAGCCUGGUUUGCCACCCUCUCUUCAAUUCUCAAGCUACCUGAUAUCUUUCCAAUAAAUUCCUUGGCUGCUCAAGUUAGCCAGAGCUUGUUUCUGUGACUUGUCACUAGGAACCCUGACAUUGACGUAGACUUACUGCCUCCCUUCAAAACAGAAAAUGUGGUGCAUUCCAAUUAAAUGCCAACGAUUC
rnacentral:lncRNA from 1 species